AUGAACGCUGGCGGCGUGCUUAACACAUGCAAGUCGAACGGAGAUAUAUUUGUAGCAAUAUAGAUAUAUUUUAGUGGCGGACGGGUGAGUAACGCGUGAGGAACCUGCCUUGGAGUGGGGAAUAACACAUUGAAAAGUGUGCUAAUACCGCAUAACAUAUUGAAGUCGCAUGGCUUUGAUAUCAAAGAUUUAUCGCUCUGAGAUGGCCUCGCGUCUGAUUAGCUAGUUGGUGAGGUAACGGCCCACCAAGGCUUCGAUCAGUAGCCGGACUGAGAGGUUGACCGGCCACAUUGGGACUGAGAUACGGCCCAGACUCCUACGGGAGGCAGCAGUAGGGAAUAUUGGGCAAUGGGCGAAAGCCUGACCCAGCCAUGCCGCGUGAAGGAAGACGGCCUUAUGGGUUGUAAACUUCUUUACUACGCGAAUAGAGGUUAGUACGAGAUACUAAUAGGAAGGUAGUGUAGUAAAAAGCACCGGCUAACUCCGUG
rnacentral:rRNA from 1 species